rnacentral:RNase_P_RNA from 2 species
GUCCUUCUAGGAUUGCUAUCCGGGAUCUGCCUCGUUCUGGACAGUUUCUCGCUUUUGCAAAUGAGAAAUUCGGAGUAAUCUUCAUCUCUUUAUAGCCCGCCUUGUCUUGCCAAGCUCCCUCGGGAGUUUGGUGUUGCAAGGGUGGCUACUGCCCGUGAGGGUCUGGCAUGAUUUCAUGUCUGCAAUUGGCAUCAGAAACUCAGGGCUGGCUUCUGUACCCUUGUCUACUCCUGCGGGAGGAAGAAGGGUCGGAUGGUCAGGUUUCCCUAUGGGAGAGCCGUUGCGAAGAUUGUGUGUGUCCCGUAGUCUCUGGUUUGGCGGUUUCCCGUUAUUCCAGUAGAUGGGGUACGACACUUUAGUGCAAUACGCGGCGUACUCGAUCUCCGUCUUCCUUUUUUUGGUUGGUGGGGAGAGGUAUCAUUCGAUUCCGAUUACUCUGGCGAGGAC